UCCUCCACCACCGACAGACAAGAGACAACCUGGCGGACUGAAACAUCUUAGUAACUAGAGGAAAAGAAAGCUAAAGUGAUUCUCGUUUUAGCAGCGAGCGAAAUGGGGCAGCCUAAACUGUGAAAAUGGGAUUGUGGGAGAGCAAUACAAGCAUCAUGCUGCUAGGCGAAGCGGUGGAGUGCUGCACCCUAGAUGGCAAGAGUCCAGUAGCCGAAAGCAUCACUAGCUUACGCUCUAACCUGAGUAGCAUGGGGCACGUGGAAUCCUAUGUGAAUCAGCAAGGACCACCUUGCAAGGCUAAAGUUACUCAUGGGUGAUCGAUAGCGAAGUAGUACUAUAAGGGAAAGGUGAAAAAGAACCCCAUCGGAGAGUGAAAUAGAACAUGAAA
rnacentral:ncRNA from 1 species